GGGAUGGUGUCCGGCGCAAAGGUCGGACAAGGUUCAGUCCUAGCUACGGGUUCGUCUACGGUACCGGUACUAUGGGGAACUGGGGCUGACGAACUCCUAGAACUGCUAGAGGAGGAGAUAUCAGAGGACAUUUUGGAUCAGACGGAAGCCACAAAAAUCCCAAAAAAUUGGAAAAAAUAGCAGACAGGCCCCCGAGAAAGCUAAAUAAACAGAAUAUGAAGA
rnacentral:lncRNA from 1 species